GUUUUUUUUUUCUUUCAAAAAGUAAAUGAUUCAAUGAUUAAAUGACAUGACUGUAUUUUGAACAGGUUAUAUUGGUGAAUUUGAGUAUGUUGAUGACCAUAGAUCUGGUAAGAUUGUGGUUGAAUUGAAUGGACGUUUGAACAAAUGUGGGGUUAUCAGUCCUCGUUUUGAUGUUGGAGUGAAGGAAAUUGAGCCAUGGACUGCAAGACUUCUUCCUUCAAGACAAGUUAGUAUUUUCAAAUUUCAACAUUAUACUAAAUAAAUAAAUAAUUAUUAACAAAAAAAUACUUGCAGUUUGGUUACAUUGUGUUGACAACAUCUGCUGGAAUCAUGGACCAUGAAGAAGCUAGGAGGAAAAAUGUUGGUGGUAAAGUGCUUGGUUUCUUCUACUAGGGAUUUUAUUUCUUGGUAAUGGUUUGUUAUUAGGGUAGGGAGUGAAAGAAAUUAUAUUUAUGGGAUUUUGUUAUCAAUGGUUUUGAUUUGAUUCAAUCUGUCGUUAUUCAUGUUUUUUUUGCUUUUGAAUUCUACUAUAAUGUAUGGAUUUUGAUCAACUGCUUCAAAUGCUCUUUUGAUCUACACAAAUUUUGAUUGCAGCCAUCAAUGUUUGGGAAAUACAGGGCAAAAGACUAAUAUAUUUUUGGAUAUUCAAGUCAAUUUGAACAACUAUUUGAUCUAAAUUUGCUACUAUCACAAUCAAUAAAUUGAACGUGACAAACAAAUCAAAAAGCUGUUAUAUUGAUGCACUAAUUUGCUGUUUUGUUAUCAUAAAUUAUAAAAAAUCUUUCACAAUAAGUAAACUAGUUAGCGAUUACAUAAGAUUCGAGUUUCAUGUUUGUUAUCAUCGCAACAAACGACAUUAACAGUAAAUGGUCGACACAAGUAAAUAAUGUACUGACACAAAUGAUUUAUAAAAUUGAACAUAUACUAUAUAUAGUUUCGAAGUAUAUACACUAGAAAUGAGCAUGUAUAUAACAGACACAUUUUGUAAAUAUAAAGAAAUUAGCUUGUAUAACAUACACAUUUUAUAAAUAUAACUCUCUAAUCGUAGGAUAAAUAAUAAAAAUGCACGAUUUUUUUUAUAUAAAGUAAUUUUAGGGGUAGCAAAACUGAAUCCGAAAACCAAAAAAUCGAUGAAACCAAAAUCGAAAAGCCAAAACCGUAGCAUAAAUGACGGUUUGUGUUUUUUAAAAACUGAAAAUUUCGUUUUGGAUUCGGUUUCUUAAAAUUUAAGAAACAAAGAAAAUCGAACUGAAGUUUAAUACAUAUUAUACAUAAAUAAGCUUAAAUAAGUCUGACCUGAUAAAGCGUUGGACAUUGCUACCAAAGGUUUUGUGUUACAUACAACUUCCACCCUCUACAUCUUUUAUAUAGGGCUAGUUUGGCAAAAGUAGUUGUUAGCUGGAAGCGGGUAAUGAUUACCUGGUAGCGGGUUUCUGGUAGUGUGUAGUAGAUAGCUGGUAACGGAAAGCUGUAAUUUUUAUUUGUUAUAUGAAUGUUUGAUAAAAGUAGCUGGAAGCUUUUGAAAUAUAUAAAAUUAUAUAAAAAGGCAAUUGAUUAAAAAUAAAUAAAUAAAUAAAUAAAUAUAUUUUUAAGUGUAAUUAUGAAAAUUGAUUUCAAAAGCUUAUGAACGUUUUGUUAAACGCUACAUCAAGUAGCUUUUAGAAUCGGAACGUUUUGUUAAAACUAAAAGCUAAACGUUCAUACUGCCAAACGAAUCUUUUAGUUUAAAUUAGAGCAUUUUAUUAAAAGCUAAAAGCUCCUAAACGCUUCCAAAAGCUCCGUGCCAAACACGUCCCACAUUGACAAUCGCAUAAAACAUCAAACCCUCUUUAUAUGAUGACUUGUAAGACCUAUAACUUAGGUUGUGAAUGAGUUUGAGUUUAAACAUGAAACCAAACCGUAAAAACAGAAAAAUGGAACCCAUCGGGUUUAGCUGUUGGGUUGGGUUAUAUGAAAAGUAGGUCGAAAAUGGCCCAUGCCUAAGUAUUUUCAUUUAAGAAGUGAUAGUCCAAACUCAUGGACCUUUAUUCGCAAUAGUGGUGGUUCUUUUGUGAUAGUCUAUGAAAAUAUGGUUAUUGAUAUUCAUGCUUUAUAAAUAGUUAUUCUACUGAAAUUGUCUUUUUGUUCCAACUAAAUAAGUAUUUAUUUAUUUAUUAUAGAAUGAGAAGAAAUAAAAUUAUGAAACUUACUAUUUACUAAAAAUACAAAAACUUCCGAAAAUUUUAAAAUAUAUUAUUCUUGUAGAAACAACAUAUAAUACUUGAUAUUACAAUUUUGUUGUAAUAUUUUUUUAAUCCUGAAUAUUGGAUUGAAUUUCUCUAAAAUACGACUUGAAACCAUCGUAAUAAAUUCCGAUUACUCAGAUAAUCUAUAAAAGUUUACACCCAGAUAUUUCAUAAAGAUAUAUUUUCUCCUCAAAACUCAUCUACAACAUUUAAGAAAAAAAAAGACAGAAAAAUAGCAUCUUCUUCUUGUAUCUUGCCAAAGAUUGUGUAGUUGCCACCCGAGAUAGUCUCACUGCUUCAUUUACCACCACAAAACUAGAUACCACAAUCACCAGUCCACCACCACCACCACCACCACCACCACCUCCUCCGCCUUGAUUCCCGCUGCCAAGUGUGGUGGUGGCGAUGUUAAAUUUCACCGGAGCUUCAUGUAUGUGGGAAUCUAUAAAAAUAGAAUAUAUGAAUAAAAAUAGUGUCACCAAAGUGAUGAGGAUUGGUGUGAUUAUAAAGAAUGGGUUUUUGAGCAAGUGGCAAGAGUAUAUGUGAAGCAUAUUCUUCUAGCAUUAACUAUGAGUGCACUGUUUUUCAUUAUACUUUUGUAAUAUAUUCCCCAUGCUUAUAAUUAUUAAUAAAUAUGUGGUUAUGGAAAGCAAUAUUAAUUAUAAAAACUAGGACGGGAAAGUAUACCAAAUUCCAUAAU
rnacentral:lncRNA from 1 species